rnacentral:rRNA from 1 species
AAGCAGUCUCAGUUCGGAUUGAAGGCUGAAAUUCGCCUUCAUGAAGCCGGAAUUGCUAGUAAUGGCAGGUCAGCAUACUGCCGUGAAUACGUUCCCGGGCCUUGUACACACCGCCCGUCACACCAUGAGAGUUGGGGAUACCCGAAGCCUGUGAGCUAACUUUUAGAGGCAGCAGUCGAAGGUAGAAUCAAUGAUUGGGGUGAAGUCGUAACAAGGUAUC